UACGGGGGGGGCAAGCGUUGUUCGGAAUUACUGGGCGUAAAGGGCUCGUAGGCGGCCAACUAAGUCCGACGUGAAAUCCCCAGGCUUAACCUGGGAACUGCGUCGGAUACUGGAUGGCUUGAAUUCGGGAGAGGGAUGCAGAAUUCCAGGUGUAGCGGUGAAAUGCGUAGAUAUCUGGAGGAAUACCGGUGGCGAAGGCGGCAUCCUGGACCGACAUUGACGCUGAGGAGCGAAAGCUAGGGGAGCAAACGGGGAU
rnacentral:rRNA from 1 species